rnacentral:rRNA from 1 species
ACGGGGUGCAGCAGGCGCGAAACCUUCGCAAUGCGCGCAAGCGUGACGAGGGGACCCCAAGUGUGCUAGUAAAACUAGUACUUUUACGGAGUGUAAAAAGCUUCGAGAAUAAGGUCUGGGUAAGACUGGUGCCAGCCUCCGCGGUAACACCAGCAGAUCAAGUGGUAACCACGCUUAUUGGGCUUAAAGCGUCCGUAGUCGGUUAUACAAGUCUCCUGUGAAAUCCUGCGGCUUAACCGUAGGGCUUGCAAGAGAUACUAUAUGACUAGAGGCCGGGAGAGGUGUAGGGUAUUCUGGGGGUAGCGGUGAAAUGCUAUAAUCCCCGGAGGACCACCAGUAGCGAAGGCGCUACACUGGAACGGGCCUGACGAUGAGGGACGAGAGCUAGGGGAGCGAACCGGAUUAGAUACCCGGGUAGUCCUAGCUGUAAACGAUGCGGACUGAGUGUUUCCUGAACCUCGAGUUCAGGAAGUGCUGAAGGGAAACCGUUAAGUCCGCCGCCUGGGAGUACGUCGCAAGGC